rnacentral:rRNA from 1 species
UACGGAGGAUGCAAGCGUUAUCCGGAAUUAUUGGGCGUAAAGCGUCCGCAGGUGGCACUUCAAGUCUGUCGUCAAAGACCGGGGCUUAACCCUGGAAAGGCGAUGGAAACUGAAAGGCUAGAGAGAGGUAGGGGUAGAGGGAAUUCCCAGUGUAGCGGUGAAAUGCGUAGAGAUUGGGAGGAACACCAGUGGCGAAGGCGGCUUCCUGGCCUGUUCUUGACGCUGAGGCGCGAAAGCUAGGGGAGCAAACGGG